UUUUACAGGCUUAACACAUGCAAGUCGAGGGGCAGCAUGGUCUUAGCUUGCUAAGGCCGAUGGCGACCGGCGCACGGGUGAGUAACACGUAUCCAACCUGCCGUCUACUCUUGGACAGCCUUCUGAAAGGAAGAUUAAUACAAGAUGGCAUCAUGAGUCCGCAUGUUCACAUGAUUAAAGGUAUUCCGGUAGACGAUGGGGAUGCGUUCCAUUAGAUAGUAGGCGGGGUAACGGCCCACCUAGUCUUCGAUGGAUAGGGGUUCUGAGAGGAAGGUCCCCCACAUUGGAACUGAGACACGGUCCAAACUCCUACGGGAGGCAGCAGUGAGGAAUAUUGGUCAAUGGGCGAGAGCCUGAACCAGCCAAGUAGCGUGAAGGAUGACUGCCCUAUGGGUUGUAAACUUCUUUUAUAAAGGAAUAAAGUCGGGUAUGGAUACCCGUUUGCAUGUACUUUAUGAAUAAGGAUCGGCUAACUCCGUGCCAGCAGCCGCGGUAAUACGGAGGAUCCGAGCGUUAUCCGGAUUUAUUGGGUUUAAAGGGAGCGUAGAUGGAUGUUUAAGUCAGUUGUGAAAGUUUGCGGCUCAACCGUAAAAUUGCAGUUGAUACUGGAUAUCUUGAGUGCAGUUGAGGCAGGCGGAAUUCGUGGUGUAGCGGUGAAAUGCUUAGAUAUCACGAAGAACUCCGAUUGCGAAGGCGGCCUGCUAAGCUGCAACUGACAUUGAGGCUCGAAAGUGUGGGUAUCAAACAGGAUUAGAUACCCUGGUAGUCCACACGGUAAACGAUGAAUACUCGCUGUUUGCGAUAUACUGCAAGCGGCCAAGCGAAAGCGUUAAGUAUUCCACCUGGGGAGUACGCCGGCAACGGUGAAACUCAAAGGAAUUGACGGGGGCCCGCACAAGCGGAGGAACAUGUGGUUUAAUUCGAUGAUACGCGAGGAACCUUACCCGGGCUUAAAUUGCAGAUGAAUUACGGUGAAAGCCGUAAGCCGCAAGGCAUCUGUGAAGGUGCUGCAUGGUUGUCGUCAGCUCGUGCCGUGAGGUGUCGGCUUAAGUGCCAUAACGAGCGCAACCCUUGUUGUCAGUUACUAACAGGUUCCGCUGAGGACUCUGACAAGACUGCCAUCGUAAGAUGUGAGGAAGGUGGGGAUGACGUCAAAUCAGCACGGCCCUUACGUCCGGGGCUACACACGUGUUACAAUGGGGGGUACAGAGGGCCGCUACCACGCGAGUGGAUGCCAAUCCCCAAAACCUCUCUCAGUUCGGACUGGAGUCUGCAACCCGACUCCACGAAGCUGGAUUCGCUAGUAAUCGCGCAUCAGCCACGGCGCGGUGAAUACGUUCCCGGGCCUUGUACACACCGCCCGUCAAGCCAUGGGAGCCGGGGGUACCUGAAGUGCGUAACCGCGAGGAGCGCCCUAGGGUAAAACUGGUGACUG
rnacentral:rRNA from 1 species